rnacentral:lncRNA from 1 species
AAGUUUUUUCUCCGAUCUAAAAAUAUUUUUUGCUUUCUCACAGCAGAUCUGGGAAAGAAAACGAAGGAGGUGGAGAGUUUUGCGAACUAUACUUCUUGUUGCUCCGAGCUCUCACAAUGGUUCUAUGUCCUCGUUUCUUUGUGCUGAAUUUCGUUUUGGAUUGUCGAACGUCCAAUGCUGCUACAGAAAAUGUAAAUUAUCCUUCUUUGAAAUCGUAUUUAACUUUUC